UGCUGGGUGGGGUAGUACAAAGAGGUGAGCUUUUGUCAGGGGCUAGGGCAACGGUCAGCAAACAAGGCCUGCAGGCCAGAUGUGCCUGGGCCCACGGCCUUGCAAGCGAAGACUGGUUUGUACAUUUUUUAUUUUUCCUUUUUUUAAAAAAAAAUUUUUUUUUUGAGAGGAAGAGUGUGUGGGGGAAGCCCAGAAUAUUCGCUGUCUGG
rnacentral:lncRNA from 1 species